rnacentral:rRNA from 1 species
CUCNUGGUGUAGCGGUGGAAUGCGCAGAUAUCAGGAAGAACACCGGUGGCGAAGGCGGGUCUCUGGGCCGUUACUGACGCUGAGGAGCGAAAGCGUGGGGAGCGAACAGGAUUAGAUACCCUGGUAGUNCACGCCGUAAACGUUGGGCACUAGGUGUGGGGGGCCUUUUCCGGNUCUUCCGCGCCGUAGCUAACGCAUUAAGUGCCCCGCCUGGGGAGUACGGCCGCAAGGCUAAAACUCAAAGGAAUUGACGGGGGCCCGCACAAGCGGCGGAGCAUGCGGAUUAAUUCGAUGCAACGCGAAGAACCUUGCCAAGGCUUGACAUGUGCCGGUCGGCUCCGGAGACGGGGUUUCCUCCUUGUGGGGCCGGUUCACAGGUGGUGCAUGGUUGUCGUCAGCUCGUGUCGUGAGAUGUUGGGUUAAGUCCCGCAACGAGCGCAACCCUUGUCCCGUGUUGCCAGCACGUUGUGGUGGGGACUCGCGGGAGACUGCCGGGGUCAACUCGGAGGAAGGUGGGGAUGACGUCAAAUCAUCAUGCCCCUUAUGUCUUGGGCUUCACGCAUGCUACAAUGGCCGGUACAGAGGGCUGCGAUACCGUGAGGUGGAGCGAAUCCCUUAAAGCCGGUCUCAGUUCGGAUCGGUGUCUGCAACUCGACACCGUGAAGUUGGAGUCGCUAGUAAUCGCAGAUCAGCAACGCUGCGGUGAAUACGUUCUCGGGCCUUGUAC